AUUGAACGCUGGCGGAAUGCUUUACACAUGCAAGUCGAACGGCAGCACGGACUUCGGUCUGGUGGCGAGUGGCGAACGGGUGAGUAAUGUAUCGGAACGUGCCCGGUCGUGGGGGAUAACGUAGUGAAAAUUACGCUAAUACCGCAUACGAUCUAUGGAUGAAAGCGGGGGAUCGCAAGACCUCGCGCGAUUGGAGCGGCCGAUAUCAGAUUAGGUAGUUGGGGGGGUAAAGGCCCACCAAGCCAACGAUCUGUAGCUGGUCUGAGAGGACGACCAGCCACACUGGAAGUGAGACACGGUCCAGACUCCUACGGGAGGCAGCAGUGGGGAAUUUUGGACAAUGGGCGAAAGCCUGAUCCAGCCAUUCCGCGUGCAGGAUGAAGGCCCUCGGGUUGUAAACUGCUUUUGUACAGAACGAAAAGGUUUCUAUUGAUACUAGGAGCUCAUGACGGUACUGUAAGAAUAAGCACCGGCUAACUACGUGCCAGCCGCCGCUGUAA
rnacentral:rRNA from 1 species